AUUUGAUGAUGAGGGCAGCUUGCACAUAACCUCUUGAAUCUCUCCCAAUAUUCAUAUAAACAUUCUACACGCAGUUGUCUGAUUCCAGAAAUAUCUUUUCUGAUUGU
rfam:Lupinus angustifolius cultivar Tanjil contig_16887, whole genome shotgun sequence.